rnacentral:lncRNA from 1 species
GUAUCCUUUCCCACCCCCCGGAGGAGUUCUCCCCCUCCGCGGCCAUUUCCAUCCCAUAAUAUCCGCUUCCAUUCCCCCCCCUCCCCUCCUCCCCCAGUCUGCCUCCGUGGCCGCUCCCAGGCCACGCCCCAUUCCCUUUAGGCCACGCCCCCUUAUAUCCCUCCCGCGCGUGCGCCGCUGGCCCUCCCUUCCUCUUCCCGCGCUGUGCGCCGGAAGUGAUGGCCCUCGAGCGUUAGGGUGACCCGGAAGCAGAAGUGAGAGGGUAGACAGGCGCGUGUGAGCGAAGGAGCUGAAGUGGAGCGGAAAGGAACGGAGCCGCCAUGUGAGGGGGAGGAUGGGACCGGGGGGGCGGGCGGGGCGGGGGAGAGGGGUGCUGGAGGACUGGGAUGUCGGUAUCCUGGAGGACUGAGGUGCCAGGAUACUGAAAUGCUGGAGGACUGGGGUGCCAGGAUAUCGAGAUGUUGGAGGACUGGGGUGCUGGAGGACCCAGGUGCCAGGAUACUGGGAUGCUGGAGGACUGGGAUGCUGGAGGUUUGGGGUGCCAGAAGACUGAAAUGCUGGAGGAUUGGGGUGUUGGGAUGUUGGGAUCCUGCAGGAUUGGGGUGCCAGAAUGCCAAGAUGCUGGAGGACUGGGGUGCUGGGGUGCUGGAGGACUGGGGUGCCAAGAUAUUGAGAUGUUGGAGGACUGGGGUGCUGGAGGACCCAGGUGCCAGGAGAUUGGGAUGCUGGAGGACUGGGAUGCUGGAGGACUGGGGUGCCAGGAUACCAAAUGCUGGAGAACUGGAUUACCAGGAUGUUGGAGGACUGGGUUGUUGGGAUGCUGGAGGACUGGGGUGCUGGAGGACCGAGGUGCCGGGAUAUUGAGAUGCUGGAGGACUGGGAUGCUGUGGUUUUGGGGUGCUGGGUGA